rnacentral:lncRNA from 1 species
AACAACUUUAAAAGUGGAAGAAAGCAAUGAUGGGGGGUGGGGAGGAGAGGGGACCAGUGUGGAGAUGAGUUACCUCUGAGGUAGUUCAGAGCGGGGUUCGCCCCCCCCCCUUAUCUUUUUCUUUCUGUUCCUAGAAGACUAAAAACUUGAAGAUGGACAUGAGUGCCCUGGGAACCACUAUUCUGUUUGAUCGGUCUGUAGGUUCUCCUGCAGGUUUUGGAGCGUCAGGGAGAACGAGGGAGAACCACUAACUGACACCUGGGAAAUCCCUGCAAAAUAGUGGAAGUGAAAGAUGGUGGGAGGGCAUGGAAGAGCAAAGUACAGCGUCAAAGUGAGCACCUAAUUUUGCCAGAUAUGAUGAGGGGAGUCUCCCUGCCGGACCCCAUC